rnacentral:rRNA from 1 species
CCUACGGGAGGCAGCAGUGAGGAAUAUUGGUCAAUGGACGCAAGUCUGAACCAGCCAUGCCGCGUGCAGGAAGACGGCUCUAUGAGUUGUAAACUGCUUUUGUACGAGGGUAAACGCAGAUACGUGUAUCUGUCUGAAAGUAUCGUACGAAUAAGGAUCGGCUAACUCCGUGCCAGCAGCCGCGGUAAUACGGAGGAUGCAAGCGUUAUCCGGAUUUAUUGGGUUUAAAGGGUGCGUAGGCGGUCGGAUAAGUUAGAGGUGAAAUCCCGAGGCUCAACUUCGGUAGUGCCUCUGAUACUGAUCGGCUAGAGAGUAGUUGCGGUAGGCGGAAUGUAUGGUGUAGCGGUGAAAUGCUUAGAGAUCAUACAGAACACCGAUUGCGAAGGCAGCAUACCAAGCUACUUCUGACGUUGAGGCACGAAAGCGUGGGGAGCAAACAGGAUUAGAUACCCUGGUAGUC